rnacentral:rRNA from 1 species
CCUACGGGGGGCUGCAGCUAAGAAUAUUCCACAAUGGACGAAAGUCUGAUGGAGCGACGCCGCGUGGAUGAUGAAGGCCGGAAGGUUGUAAAAUCCUUUUGUCAACGAAGAAUAAUCUUAGGAGGGAAUGCCUGAGAGAUGACGUUAGUUGACGAAUAAGCCCCGGCUAAUUACGUGCCAGCAGCCGCGGUAACACGUAAGGGGCGAGCGUUGUUCGGAAUUAUUGGGCGUAAAGGGCGCGUAGGCGGUUUUGUAAGCUUGAUGUGAAAUCCUAGGGCUUAACCCUGGAACUGCAUUGGGAACUGCAAGACUUGAAUCAUGGAAGGGAAACUAGAAUUCCAGGUGUAGGGGUGAAAUCUGUAGAUAUCUGGAAGAAUACCGGUGGCGAAGGCGAGUUUCUGGCCAAUGAUUGACGCUGAGGCGCGAAAGUGCGGGGAGCAAACAGGAUUAGAUACCCUUGUAGUC